AGAUAGAACUUUCACACCCUUCUCUAACCGUGUCUGCCUAUGUGUCAACAUGCGUCCUGUCAUGAUGAUAAUGGACUAAACCUCUGAAACUAAAUGUCCCCUCGGCCAAAGUUAAUGACUCCAUGGUGAUCAGAGACAGCAGGAGUCCAGAGAUGAGGAUGUCUAAUGUCUCAGCAGAAAGGAACUGGACUGCUGGUAUAUUCAUGAAGCGUUUACUACUGGGUUGAGCGACUGCUGCUGAUUCUUGUGAACUGAACUGAUUUCCUAACAACACAAAUUGGAUUUGCUCCAAAGAACAAUUCCGAAACAGGUCCAAUUCCUCUUAACCUUGCUUUUCCACUCACUCUGGUGGGUGGUCGGAUAGAAGGGAGGAGGUUAAAGCAUUUAAGAACCCAUAUUAAAAGUAGGUUUUGAAAAAUUGAAGCCUACAGAAACCUAUGUCAAACAUUUUGCAAUGUGAAAAGACUUGAAUGUAACCUACAUGAUCUAUAUUAAAAAAAAUCAAGCAUCUUAAAAUUCUAAGCCAGACCCAAAUUCAAUAUAUGAAAGAAAAUGAGUAGCUGAAAAUGUCAGUAUGUAACAAACCCUUACAAGGAAGUAAAGACAAUUACAAAGCUAACAAAAAUUCAAUCCACUUAAAUUAUCACCAUAUGGAUGACCUUCAAUGUAACUUUAAUUUACUGAUC